rnacentral:rRNA from 1 species
CCUACGGGAGGCAGCAGUGAGGAAUAUUGGUCAAUGGACGAGAGUCUGAACCAGCCAAGUAGCGUGAAGGAUGACUGCCCUAUGGGUUGUAAACUUCUUUUAUAUGGGAAUAAAACGUUCCACGUGUGGGAUUUUGUAUGUACCAUAUGAAUAAGGAUCGGCUAACUCCGUGCCAGCAGCCGCGGUAAUACGGAGGAUCCGAGCGUUAUCCGGAUUUAUUGGGUUUAAAGGGAGCGUAGGUGGAUUGUUAAGUCAGUUGUGAAAGUCUGCGGCUCAACCGUAAAAUUGCAGUUGAAACUGGCAGUCUUGAGUACAGUAGAGGUGGGCGGAAUUCGUGGUGUAGCGGUGAAAUGCUUAGAUAUCACGAAGAACUCCGAUUGCGAAGGCAGUUCACUGGACUGCAACUGACACUGAGGCUCGAAAGUGUGGGUAUCAAACAGGAUUAGAUACCCGAGUAGUC